CGUUGGUGACCAGCGGAGGGAUCAUUACCGAGUUUACAACUCCCAAACCCCUGUGAACAUACCAAUUGUUGCCUCGGCGGAUCAGCCCGCUCCCGGUAAAACGGGACGGCCCGCCAGAGGACCCCUAAACUCUGUUUCUAUAUGUAACUUCUGAGUAAAACCAUAAAUAAAUCAAAACUUUCAACAACGGAUCUCUUGGUUCUGGCAUCGAUGAAGAACGCAGCAAAAUGCGAUAAGUAAUGUGAAUUGCAGAAUUCAGUGAAUCAUCGAAUCUUUGAACGCACAUUGCGCCCGCCAGUAUUCUGGCGGGCAUGCCUGUUCGAGCGUCAUUUCAACCCUCAAGCCCUCGGGUUUGGUGUUGGGGAUCGGCGAGCCUCACGGCAAGCCGGCCCCGAAAUAUAGUGGCGGUCUCGCUGUAGCUUCCAUUGCGUAGUAGUAAAACCCUCGCAACUGGUACGCGGCGCGGCCAAGCCGUUAAACCCCCAACUUCUGAAUGUUGACCUCGGAUCAGGUAGGAAUACCCGCUGAACUUAAGCAUA
rnacentral:rRNA from 1 species